GUGCUUGGGCGAGAGUAGUACUAGGAUGGGUAAGGCCCUUGGAAGUCCUAGUGUUGCACCCUUUUUUUU
rnacentral:rRNA from 1 species